rnacentral:rRNA from 1 species
GCCUCAGUAACGGCGAGUGAAGCGGCAACAGCUCAAAUUUGAAAUCUGGCUCACGCCCGAGUUGUAAUUUGUAGAGGAUGUUUCGGGUGAAGCCGCGGUCCAAGUCCCUUGGAACAGGACGUCAUAGAGGGUGAGAACCCCGUACCUGGCCGCCGGUGCCCCCCGCUGUGAAACUCCUUCGACGAGUCGAGUUGUUUGGGAAUGCAGCUCUAAAUUGGUGGUAAAUUCCAUCUAAAGCUAAAUACCGGCCAGAGACCGAUAGCGCACAAGUAGAGUGAUCGAAAGAUGAAAAGCACUUUGAAAAGAGAGUUAAAAAGUACGUGAAAUUGUUGAAAGGGAAGCGCUUGCGGCCAGACUUGCCUGCGGUUGCUCAUCCCGCCUUUUGGCGGGUGCACUCUUCCGCAGUCAGGCCAGCAUCGGUUUGGGCGGUCGGAUAAAGGCGCUGGGAACGUGGCCUCCCCUCGGGGAGGUGUUAUAGCCCGGCGCGCAAUGCGACCAGCCCGGACCGAGGUUCGCGCUUUGCUAGGAUGCUGGCGUAAUGGCCGUAAGCGGCCCGUCUUGAAACACGGACCAAGGAGUCUAACAUCUAUGCGAGUGUUUGGGUGUCAAACCCGUGCGCGUAAUGAAAGUGAACGGAGGUGGGAACCGCAAGGUGCACCAUCGACCGAUCCUGAUGUCUUCGGAAGGAUUUGAGUAAGAGCAUAGCUGUUGGGACCCGAAAGAUGGUGAACUAUGCGUGAAUAGGGUGAAGCCAGAGGAAACUCUGGUGGAGGCUCGCAGCGGUUCUGACGUGCAAAUCGAUCGUCAAAUUUGCGUAUAGGGGCGAAAGACUAAUCGAACCAUUUAGUAGCU